rnacentral:rRNA from 1 species
UACGGAGGAUCCAAGCGUUAUCCGGAUUUAUUGGGUUUAAAGGGUGCGUAGGCGGUUUUAUAAGUUAGAGGUGAAAAUUCGGGGCUCAACUCCGGACGUGCCUCUAAUACUGUAUGACUAGAGAAUAGAUGCGGUAGGCGGAAUAUAUGGUGUAGCGGUCGAAAUGCGUAGAGAUCAUACAGAACACCGAUUGCGAAGGCAGCUUACCAAACUAUAUCUGACGUUUGAGGCACGAAAGCGUGGGGAGCAAACAGG